rnacentral:rRNA from 1 species
ACGAACGCUGGCGGCGUGCUUAACACAUGCAAGUCGAACGGAAAGGCCCUGCUUUUGUGGGGUGCUCGAGUGGCGAACGGGUGAGUAACACGUGAGUAACCUGCCCUUGACUUUGGGAUAACUUCAGGAAACUGGGGCUAAUACCGGAUAGGAGCUCCUGCUGCAUGGUGGGGGUUGGAAAGUUUCGGCGGUUGGGGAUGGACUCGCGGCUUAUCAGCUUGUUGGUGGGGUAGUGGCUUACCAAGGCUUUGACGGGUAGCCGGCCUGAGAGGGUGACCGGCCACAUUGGGACUGAGAUACGGCCCAGACUGCUACGGGAUGCAGUAGUGGGGAAUAUUGCACAGUGGGCGGAAGCCUGAUGCAGCAACGCCGCGUGCGGGAUGAUGGCCUUCGGGUUGUAAACCGCUUUCGCCUGUGACGAGGCGUGAGUGACGGUAAUGUGUAAAGAAGCACCGGCUAACUACGUG